CUCAGAAAUGACCAUUUCAAAAGUUCUUAUGUUCAUCCUGUUCAUCUUUUUCUGCACUAUUUCCAUACAAGGUACUAGAGCCAAAGCAUUGCAUCUCUAUCACAACAAUGGAGACUCAAACUUGAAGCAAAUAAAAGAGAUCGAUGAUUGGUUCGACUGCACCGACUUGUACUUACAAUGAGUGCAGAGGAUGUCGAUACCGGUGCCGCGCAGAACAAGUUCCGGUGGAUGCCAA